rnacentral:lncRNA from 1 species
AAAGCGUGAAAGCGUGGGAAAGAUGAUAGAAGCAAAAGGAGAAGGAUGAUCGUAUUUUGUUUUCUUUUUCUUUUUUUCGUGUAAUAUUAAUUAUAUGUUUUGUAUUAAUGAUUUUAAGAUAUGUGGUUGAAUAGUAAAGAGACUUAUUAAAUUGAAUAACAUUUCAUCUGUAAGCUUCUUUCACAAGGAUUUUAUUUAAAAAUUAUGGUCGGGUAGGGUUUUGUCGGAGAUUACUGGGGUUAAUUAUAAGCAAUUAUACGUAAUUAUGUCUUUGAUUUAUAUAUACUACUAUUACUUUUCUUUUUCUGUGUAUAUG